rnacentral:rRNA from 1 species
UAUUUUUAAAGGGCCGCGGUAUACUGACCGUGCGAAGGUAGCAUAAUCAUUAGUCUUUUAAUUGAAGGCUUGUAUGAAUGGUUGGACAAAAAGUAAUCUGUCUCAAUUGUAAUAGUUGAACUUAACUUUUAAGUGAAAAGGCUUAAAUACUUUAAGGGGACGAUAAGACCCUAUAAAACUUGACAAUAAAUUAGUUAAAUUAUAAAUUGUUAGUAUAACUUGAUCUUAAUUAAUGUUUGUUGCGUUGGGGCGACGGGAAUAUAAUUAGUAACUGUUCUUAAAUACUUAUUAACAAGUAUAAUUGAAAAAUAAUUGAUCCUUUAUUAAAGAUUAAAAGAUUAAGUUACUUUAGGGAUAACAGCGUAAUCUUCUUUGAGAGUCCUCAUCGACAAGAAGGUUUGCGACCUCGAUGUUGAAUUAAGGUAUCCUUAUAAUGCAC